GAAGGAAGCAGGACUGGGCAGAUGGAACAUUGAGCUUUGACCCAGGCCUGACAACAGUUUCAGCUGACUCCUCAGAGAGUUUUAGAGCUAAAACAGGCCAUCAGAUUUCCCCAGAGGCCAGCACCAUCAUUUCAGCCCAUAUCAAACAUCCAGUCCAUAUUCCUUGAAGACCUAAGAGACAUCUAGAACUGGGGCAACGACUUCUAACCAGAGCUCCCACUACAAUCAGUUUUGGAAAUUGGAGAAUGAAUUGAGCUCUUCUGAAAUACAAAUUUUUCUACCACAACUCUUCACAUUGUGGGAAGAGAUUUCUCUCCCAUGGACAAAAACCAGUGCUCAGUCUCUGCAUCUAUCACUCAGCGUUUCCAUCAGAGGCUGCGACUUGAGUGAGAGCCGCAGAGCAGACGCUGCCUCAGGCAUGUGCUUUAAGAC
rnacentral:lncRNA from 1 species